rnacentral:rRNA from 1 species
AUGAACGCUGGCGGCGUGCCUAAUACCUGCAAGUCGAGCGAACGGACGAGAAGCUUGCUUCUCUGAUGUUAGCGGCGGACGGGUGAGUAACACGUGGAUAACCUACCUAUAAGACUGGGAUAACUUCGGGAAACCGGAGCUAAUACCGGAUAAUAUUUUGAACCGCAUGGUUCAAAAGUGAAAGACGGUCUUGCUGUCACUUAUAGAUGGAUCCGCGCUGCAUUAGCUAGUUGGUAAGGUAACGGCUUACCAAGGCAACGAUGCAUAGCCGACCUGAGAGGGUGAUCGGCCACACUGGAACUGAGACACGGUCCAGACUCCUACGGGAGGCAGCAGUAGGGAAUCUUCCGCAAUGGGCGAAAGCCUGACGGAGCAACGCCGCGUGAGUGAUGAAGGUCUUCGGAUCGUAAAACUCUGUUAUUAGGGAAGAACAUAUGUGUAAGUAACUGUGCACAUCUUGACGGUGCCUAAUCAGAAAGCCACGGCUAACUACGUG